rnacentral:sRNA from 12 species
AUAUCUGCUCGUACAGCAGCGAACAAGUAAAAUAAAGAAAAAAGCUGAAUAUGA